rnacentral:rRNA from 1 species
GACGUAGGGGGCAAGCGUUACCCGGAAUUACUGGGCGUAAAGGGGGCGUAGGCGGUAAGUUAAGUUGGAUGUGAAAGCCCCGGGCUCAACCUGGGAAUUGCAUUCAAAACUGGCUCGCUAGAGUAUGUGAGAGGGGGGUAGAAUUCCAAGUGUAGCGGUGAAAUGCGUAGAGAUUUGGAGGAAUACCAGUGGCGAAGGCGGCCCCCUGGCACAAUACUGACGCUGAGGUGCGAAAGCGUGGGGAUCAAACAGGAUUAGAUACCCUGGUAGUCCACGCCGUAAACGAUGUCUACUAGCUGUUCGUGGUCUUGUACCGUGAGUAGCGCAGCUAACGCACUAAGUAGACCGCCUGGGGAGUACGGUCGCAAGAUUAAA